GAGAGGGGUUGUGCCUGAAAAGGGAACCGGAACACAGGUGCUGCAUGGCUGUCGUCAGCUCGUGUCGUGAGAUGUUGGGUUAAGUCCCGCAACGAGCGCAACCCUUGUCCCUAGUUGCUACGCAAGGGCACUCUAGGGAGACUGCCGGUGACAAACCGGAGGAAGGUGGGGAUGACGUCAAGUCCUCAUGGCCCUUAUGGGUAGGGCUUCACACGUCAUACAAUGGCCGGUACAGAGGGUUGCCAAACCGCGAGGUGGAGCCAAUCCCAGAAAGCCGGUCGUAGUCCGGAUUGCAGUCUGCAACUCGACUGCAUGAAGUCGGAAUCGCUAGUAAUCGCGGAUCAGCAUGUCGCGGUGAAUACGUUCCCGGGUCCUGUACACACCGCCCGUCACACCAUGGGAGUGGGUUCUACCAGAAGUAGGUAGGCUAACCGCAAGGAGGCCGCUUACCACGGUAGGAUUCAUGACUGGGGUGAAGUCGUAACAAGGUAACCGUAA
rnacentral:rRNA from 1 species